rnacentral:sRNA from 1 species
CACAAUUACCUACUUGCUAAACUUCUUACCAAGCCCAAAGUUCAACCGUAUUUUUUUGCCCAUAUCCUUCAACCCCUUCUUUCCUUCUCCCAUCCGACAGUCGCUACCGGCUGCGGCUUUGCACCAACCAACAAUCCCGCAAACCCACCUUCCUCUUCUUCCUCUUCCUCCCGACGCCGUUUUUCCCGCAUUUUGGCCUGCACAUCUCCCAGAUCUUCUUCCAAUUCUGACGUGUUCUUCUCUUUUUCGGCCACUGUCUGUGCUCUAGAGACUGUUCGUUCAAGAAGAGAUGUCGUAGUGGUUAACACAGGGGUGGAAGAAGAAGAAUGUUCGAUAUGUUGUGGUGUAGAGGCUGGUGAUUCUGGGUCUGAAUUAUCGUCAUAAUCCAAUCCGAGCGCACUCCCCGUUCGCUGGGCCCGUUUUUUCGGCCCACCACCACUGCGCAGCCUCUUUCUCUUUGCAGGCACGACUCCUUCCUCUCCUUCUUCUUCCCCUAUCCCAUCCUCCGUAUCGUCGACCACCGUCGUAUCCGUUUCAUCGUCUGACCCGUUAAAGUAAUCGUCCUCUUUCUUCUCCUCGUUUACCCAGCUGUCUUCUCCACCGAUCGAUGUAGCUGAUGUAGCGGCGACGAGAGGCAUGCUUGGUGUAGGCUCGUUGUUCAUCUCCCAGCGUGAUCGAAUUCCCAUCAUGAUACCUCGCAUGAGUGGCCGACGCGAAAGGGCUUCGAGGCGGGGAGUAUAGUUUUCAAAGAGAUAGUUGAUGAUAGUCUUCAAAUUGUCCUGUACCACGUGCGGAACUCAUCAUAUUAUCCCUUAAACUCUCCUCCUCCAGUAACAUCAAAAGAGGUCCUAACAGAUCGUUCUUGACAAAAUGUCGAUGAAUAAAGUGAUUGGGCGUUCUCAGACAAGCCUUGAGGAAACGCAGAGCGGCUAAAUUUUCAAUAACCUGUCAAUGCCCAUCCCGAACGUUCCAGAAGAAGAAAAACGUACCAUGUCUCAAAGGUUUAUCUCGAAUGUACAACAAUG